CGUCUAUAUACGUAUAGCAUAUCAAUAAGCGGAGGAAAAGAAACUAACUAGGAUUCCCUCAGUAACGGCGAGUGAAGCGGGAAGAGCUCAAAUUUGAAAUCUUCAAGGUUCUACCUUGACGAAUUGUAGUUUAUAAGAAGUGUUUUCUGUUAGUAGAGUUGGCUAAAAGUUCUUUGGAAUAGGACAUCAUAGAGGGUGAGAAUCCCGUAUUUGGUCAUUCUUUCUAGCUUUGUGAUACACUUUCAACGAGUCGGAUUGUUUGGGAAUGCAGUCCAAAAUGGGUGGUAAAUUUCAUCUAAAGCUAAAUAUUGGCGAGAGACCGAUAGCGAACAAGUACCGUGAGGGAAAGAUGAAAAGAACCUUGAAAAGAGAGUUAAACAGUACGUGAAAUUGUCAAAAGGGAAGCGUUUGACACCAGUGUUGUUUUUCCGAAAAUCAAUUACGAAUGUUUUAUUUUUGAGAAGUUAUGACUUCAUCGGCUUGCUUCUCUCUUUACGAAACUUUCUUAAUGCACUUUUCGGUUAACAAGUCAACAUCAAUUUCUUUUGUUGUAAAAGGGUAUGAGGAAGGUGGCUUUCUUUUCGGAGAAAGUGUUUAUAGCCUUGUACCUCUGCAAUCGGAGAGAUUGAGGUCUGCAGCGUAGAUCCUUCGGGGUUAGAUACAUUUGUGCUAAGUUAUAGCUUUUCAUAGACAACUUGUUGACUAUGUUUAGUCUUGUAGCUUACUCGCUUAUGCUAUUUUACCUACGCUUAGGAUGUUGAUAUGCAUGACUGAUAU
rnacentral:rRNA from 1 species